UACUGGAAAAGCACACUGAUCAGAUCAGCAGAUCAGAUCACGGAUUAAGGUCAGUUCUCUACUGAACAUGACAGAAGGUGAGGAGAAUAAAGUCAGAGGAUAAAGCUAUUGCAACUAAUGAAUUACAAAAUUAGCAUGGAGCAGUCACAGUGACAACGAUGCUGUUAAAGAAGUAGUGCACGGAGAAAAAGAAGAAAUUAGAUAUUCUGACAGUGAAGACCGAACAUUCCCCAAAGAACUCUACAUCCCCUAAAGAGCAAGAAGUAGUUUUUUUUCUGAUCUAGUGUUUGGAUUUUUGAAGGAGUAGAAAGGGGGUGAAGAAGGGUGGAAGAUAAAAGAACCACACAAUGGGCAAAGUCUGGUUACAGAUUAUAACUUGGAAGUUUACGCUUUCAUCAAAUUAUAAAGCAUAAGAAUUUUUAUUUUUCUGUGAAGGGAAAUCAAGUCCCCAUAAAUCUGAUCUAUACAUGUAUUUCUAAUAUUCGCAAGUUUCAGCUGACUGUCAUGGAAUCACAUCUCAGGAAGUUCAUUUUUCAG
rnacentral:sRNA from 1 species